rnacentral:rRNA from 1 species
UAUAUAAAGAAAUCUUCGGAUGGAAAUAUAUAUUUCUUAGCGGCGGACGGGUGAGUAACGCGUGAGGAACCUGCCUUGUACUAGGGGAUAGCCUCGGGAAACCGGGAUUAAUACCCUAUGAUACUUGAGGAUCGCAUGAUUUUCAAGUCAAAGCGAUUAAGCGGUAUAAGAUGGACUCGCGUCCCAUUAGCUAGUUGGUGAGGUAAUAGCUCACCAAGGCGACGAUGGGUAGCCGGCCUGAGAGGGUGAACGGCCACACUGGAACUGAGACACGGUCCAGACUCCUACGGGAGGCAGCAGUGGGGAAUAUUGCACAAUGGAGGGAACUCUGAUGCAGCGACGCCGCGUGAGCGAUGAAGGUUUUCGGAUCGUAAAGCUCUGUCCUAAGGGACGAUAAUGACGGUACCUUAGGAGGAAGCCCCGGCUAACUACGUGCCAGCAGCCGCGGUAAUACGUAGGGGGCGAGCGUUGUCCGGAUUUAUUGGGCGUAAAGGGUGCGUAGGCGGCCUUGUAAGUCAGAUGUGAAAUCUCACGGCUUAACCGUGGUAAGCAUUUGAAACUGUGAGGCUUGAGUACAGGAGAGGAGAGUGGAAUUCCUAGUGUAGCGGUGAAAUGCGUAGAUAUUAGGAGGAAUACCAGUGGCGAAGGCGACUCUCUGGACUGUAACUGACGCUGAGGCACGAAAGCGUGGGGAGCAAACAGGAUUAGAUACCCUGGUAGUCCACGCCGUAAACGAUGAGUGCUAGGUGUC